GGUGGGUGGGGUUGACCGUAAGGGGCUGACAUUGGUAGUGGUGCUUUGGUUGUGAUUAACAGCUUGCUGGUCGGAACACCAAACUGCAGGUUUGAACUUUGAAACCCAAAUUCAGACCGUUUAUAAGUUUGUUUUCUUUUCUUUACCAGCCUCUUGGAUAUCUGAAUGAGUGGGCAAGUGUUUUGUUGUAUUGACCAAAAGAUUUUUUAAAACUUCCUCAUGCAUCCGUGUCCUGUGAAGGUUAAGACCUACAACCUUAGCGUCUUCAAAAAAUUUCUGGUUCAUUCCCAGUUCACAUUUUUUUUAGAUUCUCUGAUGAGAAUUUGUGGCAUCUCUUACUGAGAGUCCUGCUUUCACUACUGUACUUCCCCUGACUGCUACUGUUUUGCAUUCUUAAUUUGGCUCUACAGGUUCCUGCAUUCUUAAUUUUUCAUUUUUAGAGGUUACUCUGCCAAACUUCUGCCAGCAAAUUCUUGGUUUGUCUCACACAAGAUAAACUGACACGUAAACUUUUCGAUAUUCACAGUUAAUGGUUGAAGCAAUUUUGGCAUCAUAAAGUUUGCUUGCCAUCUGGAAUCGCAUAAUUUGUAGAGUCAUGAUUUCGGGAGAAGGUGCCGGUGAAGGUGAUGUUGAAGAUGAGGACGAUGGACAUGAAGCGAAUCCAUGAUGGAUUACAGUAAAAAAUUUCGAACAUCUCAAAAUGCAGAUGUUUGAAAGUCGGAUCCAUGAGCAAAAUUACCAGAAUAUAUUAAUUUCCCUUUGUAUCGGUGUAAACACCGAAUUAUGAUCUGAAAAAUGAAGAAAAGAGGUAUAAACUUUCUUCUUCAAUUUGUUUGAGUUUCUUGAGCAUUGUGUUGGAAGACUCUUAUUUGCUUUUGUGGAAGUGAUUUUGUUACAGA